rnacentral:rRNA from 1 species
UACGGAGGAUGCAAGCGUUAUCCGGAAUUAUUGGGCGUAAAGAGCUCGUAGGCGGUCUGUCGCGUCUGCUGUGAAAACUCAGGGCUUAACCCUGAGCUUGCAGUGGGUACGGGCAGACUAGAGUGCGGUAGGGGAGACUGGAAUUCCUGGUGUAGCGGUGAAAUGCGCAGAUAUCAGGAAGAACACCUAUGGCGAAGGCAGCUCUCUGGGACGGUACUGACGCUGAGACGCGAAAGCGUGGGGAGCGAACAGG